rnacentral:lncRNA from 1 species
CUUCUGCGGCCCAGUACUCAGCUCGCGCUUCCGGCAGGAGUCUCCGGAGCGAGCGCCUGGGCGGAGGUGAGUGGGCGUGCGGUGGGCGGUCCCCUGCGCUCCCGCCUGUCCCGGGCCUCAGUUUCCCCAGUCCUCUCGUGGCCCUGGGCCCGUCCGCCUGGUAUUUAUUUACCAAGCACUUAAUGAGAGGCGAGUCUUGGGGGAAGUGGACGAUCGCUGCCGGGCAGGCGCGGCGGUGACACGUGAGCAAACACAGACGUCACGCGGUGGGAAAUGCCUCGCGCAGUGGGGGCCCUGGGGAAGGGGGACAGGAGCCAGCCGAGAGCAUCAGGUAACCCGCGGAUGCGUUGGGCGCACGGCUGAACGUGGAGGUUGCAAGGCUCUGGCAGGCAGGCGGGAUCCGAGGAGGACUUGUGGACCCAGCCCAGGGGUCUCCAGUCUGUUGAAGCCGGCUGUCCUGCUUUCUUUCCCUGUUGCUGUGGUAGAGUACAAAAGCAACUUAAGAAAGGAAGAGCUUAAUUUCCCCUACAAUUCUGUGUGCAGACCAUCGUGGGCAAGUCAGGGCAGCAAGAGCUUGAAGCAGCUGGCCACAUUGCAUCCACAGCCCUGAAGCAGAGUGCUGGGGUCCCUUUCCCCUCUUUAUGCAGUCCAGGAGGCUCUGCCCACAACUGGAUGGGUCUCCUCACAUUAGUUAACCUGAUCUAGAGAAUCUCUUACCGGUGUGCUCCAAGGCCCAUCUCCCAGGUGACUGUGUCAGGUUGACAGCACUAACGUUAACACCAGCCUCCGACUCUUUCUGAAGUGCAGGCAGUAGGUGAAAGGAAGAUUGGGGUGGUCUUGGUUGGAUUGGAAUGAAGUCAGAAAAGAAGCUGGUUCCCACCCCUGAGGGACCAGUUCUGAUUGGCCGAGUUGGAGAGAAGGCACUGGACUAGCAGCUGCCCAGAAAGCAGAAGACUCCAGAGACUGUGACAAGUUGCACCCAGUAGGUCUCCGAGGAGUAAGUGGUCAGUUUCGUGAGGGAGUCACAGGAACUUGGCCCCUGAACAGGUGACAGGGAAAGAGUAGCCCUCACUGAGGUGAGGGCAUGGGCCUGGCACUGGAAAGCUGUGCUGUAGAAGGUGACUAUGGGUUAGUGUCAAGUGCUGCUUCUCAUGCUAAUGACAACCUUGGCCGAAAAGCACAUGGUUAGAGAAACCGAGUCCACACAGCCAGAGAACUUGGAAUCUCUGGUAGGUGGACACAGAGGGUUUGCUCACAUCUAUGCUGUUAGAGCCUGUGCUUUGAGGCCCUAAGCAGAACCUGUGCUACAGCUGAGAUGGGACAGGACAGCCAGGUGCUACAGCGUUGCCCUGCCCUGCUUUGAGGUAGCUGCUGUUUCUUGAGAAAAGGGAGACUGAAUUCCUUGCUUGGACAGAUGUGAUUGCAUGCCUGCUCUCCCUUACCACAGAGUGAGGGUGACGACCUUAGAAGUUUCGAGUCUGUAUAUCCAGUCAGUGUGAGGCAAACCACUGCUUCAUGAUGAAGCACGGAGUAGCUGUCUGCUUCCUGGAGGCCUUUCUGGCCGAGGCAUUUCCAGCUUUGUGUUUGGGGACAGACUAGGUGACUUUCUGCAUGGUGCCCCCUAGAGGUGGGGAGCUGGGUGAGCUCUCUGAAGGAAAGGUGGGCUUGAGCACUGGACAAAGGGCACUAUAGUGGCCAAGUAGGAACUGAUCAGAAGUAGAUGGGCCAGUAAGUUGAGAGAAAAGGGAACAGGCUGUCCUGGCAUGUAGCAUGCUCUGCCACUUCCUGGGUAGGGGAGGCAGUGGCUCGCAGGGACCAUGGUGUGUUUCCUGCAUGCUAGGCCAGCACUACAAGGUAAAUUCUGGACAUAGCCUAGUUGUGACAGCGUGGGGUUUGACACCUAACACUUCUGGCAUCCUGUAGGUAGAGACAGGGAUUUGCUGAUGGACUGCAGUCCAUAGGACUGGCUUCUCCCAGAAAGAUUGGGUAGUACCAGGCUGCAAAGCCCUAGCCAUGAGAGAAUGUGGACUUUGAGGUUUGUUGGAACUAGGUUUGAGCCUGUGUCCCCAGUUGUCUAGCAGUGUAAACAGGAGCCUGAGAUUAGUGGCCCUGCUGAAUAGGUCCAGUCAGCAGUUGGAUCUGCCUCUGGGGCUCAUGGGAACCAGCAGCAGGCUGCAUGCCGGGGAUAUGUUAGCCUGCAGAAAGUAUGACUGUGGAUAUUCCGAGAUGCGUGCGCUCAAAAUGAUCCAUAGUUCGUAAGGCUAAGAUUUCUUUAGAUAAACACCAGUCCAAAUGCAAGCCAGAACAUGC